rnacentral:precursor_RNA from 1 species
AGGGUACCUGUAGUCAGGCAGGCGGUUCUAGCCUGACAACAGGUACUCCACUGG